ACUCCUACGGGAGGCAGCAGUGGGGAAUAUUGCACGAAAUGGGCGCAAGCCUGAUGCAGCAACGCCGCGUGAGGGAUGAAGGCCUUCGGGUUGUAAACCUCUUUUAGCAGGGAAGAAGCGGAAAGUGACGGUACCUGCAGAAAAAGCACCGGCUAACUACGUGCCCAGCAGCCGCGGUAAUACGUAGGGUGCAAGCGUUGUCCGGAAUUAUUGGGCGUAAAGAGCUCGUAGGCGGUUUGUCACGUCUGCUGUGAAAAUCCAAGGCUCAACCUUGGACUUGCAGUGGGUACGGGCA
rnacentral:rRNA from 1 species